AUUAAUUUAUUUUAAAAAAAAUUUAUUUUUUGGUUAAAUAAGAUUAAAUUAAUU
rnacentral:tRNA from 3 species